rnacentral:rRNA from 1 species
UCAAGCGAACAAGUGCAUGUGGUGGAUGCCUUGGCGAUCACAGGCGAUGAAGGACGCGGUAGCCUGCGAAAAGCUUCGGGGAGCUGGCAAACAAGCUUUGAUCCGGAGAUGUCCGAAUGGGGAAACCCGGCCCGUAUGGGUCAUCCCACACUGAAUCCAUAGGUGUGGGAAGCGAACGCGGCGAACUGAAACAUCUAAGUAGCUGCAGGAACAGAAAUCAACCGAGAUUCCCAAAGUAGUGGCGAACGAAAUGGGAAGAGCCUUGCACUCUUUAGCAGGACUGUUAGCAAAACGGGAUGGAAAGCCCGGCCAUAGCAGGUGAUAGCCCUGUAUGCGAAAACAGACUUGUGGAACUAGGUGUGCGACAAGUAGGGCGGGACACGUGAAAUCCUGUCUGAAGAUGGGGGGACCAUCCUCCAAGGCUAAAUACUCGUGAUCGACCGAUAGUGAACCAGUACCGUGAGGGAAAGGCGAAAAGAACCCCGGGAGGGGAGUGAAAUAGAUCCUGAAACCGCAUGCAUACAAACAGUCGGAGCCUCGUAAGGGGUGACGGCGUACCUUUUGUAUAAUGGGUCAGCGACUUACAUUCAGUGGCAAGCUUAACCGAUUAGGGAAGGCGUAGCGAAAGCGAGUCCGAACAGGGCGUUGAGUCGCUGGGUGUAGACCCGAAACCAGAUGAUCUAUCCAUGGCCAGGUUGAAGGUGCGGUAACACGUACUGGAGGACCGAACCCACUAACGUUGAAAAGUUAGGGGAUGAGCUGUGGAUAGGGGUGAAAGGCUAAACAAAUCUGGAAAUAGCUGGUUCUCUCCGAAAACUAUUUAGGUAGUGCCUCGUGUCUCACCUUCGGGGGUAGAGCACUGUCAUGGUUGGGGGGUCUAUUGCUGAUUACCCCGCCAUAGCAAACUCCGAAUACCGAAGAGUGCAAUCACGGGAGACAGACAUCGGGUGCUAACGUCCGGUGUCAAGAGGGAAACAACCCAGACCGCCAGCUAAGGUCCCCAAAUAUAGCUAAGUGGGAAACGAAGUGGGAAGGCUAAAACAGUCAGGAGGUUGGCUUAGAAGCAGCCACCCUUUAAAGAAAGCGUAAUAGCUCACUGAUCGAGUCGUCCUGCGCGGAAGAUGUAACGGGGCUAAGCUAUAUACCGAAGCUGCGGACGCACGCAAGUGCGUGGUAGGAGAGCGUUCUGUAAGCCUGUGAAGGUGUCUUGUAAAGGAUGCUGGAGGUAUCAGAAGUGCGAAUGCUGACAUGAGUAGCGAUAAAGGGGGUGAAAGGCCCCCUCGCCGUAAGCCCAAGGUUUCCUACGCAACGUUCAUCGGCGUAGGGUGAGUCNCGUGGUAGGAGAGCGUUCUGUAAGCCUGUGAAGGUGUCUUGUAAAGGAUGCUGGAGGUAUCAGAAGUGCGAAUGCUGACAUGAGUAGCGAUAAAGGGGGUGAAAGGCCCCCUCGCCGUAAGCCCAAGGUUUCCUACGCAACGUUCAUCGGCGUAGGGUGAGUCGGCCCCUAAGGCGAGGCAGAGAUGCGUAGCUGAUGGGAAGCAGGUUAAUAUUCCUGCACCGUCGUAUGAUGCGAUGGGGGGACGGAUCGCGGAAGGUUGUCCGGGUGUUGGAAGUCCCGGUCCCUGCAUUGGAGAAGGCGCUCAGGCAAAUCCGGGCGCGGGAUUCAAGAGUGUGGGGCGAGCGGCCUAGUGCUGCGAAGCAAUUGGAAGUGGUUCCAAGAAAAGCCUCUAAGCUUCAGUCAUACGAGACCGUACCGCAAACCGACACAGGUGGGCGAGAUGAGUAUUCUAAGGCGCUUGAGAGAACUCGGGAGAAGGAACUCGGCAAAUUGGUACCGUAACUUCGGGAUAAGGUACGCCCUGGUAGCUUGACUGGCCUGCGCCAGAAGGGUGAAGGGGUUGCAAUAAAAUGGUGGCUGCGACUGUUUAAUAAAAACACAGCACUCUGCAAACACGAAAGUGGACGUAUAGGGUGUGACGCCUGCCCGGUGCCGGAAGAUUAAAUGAUGGGGUGCAAGCUCUUGAUUGAAGUCCCGGUAAACGGCGGCCGUAACUAUAACGGUCCUAAGGUAGCGAAAUUCCUUGUCGGGUAAGUUCCGACCUGCACGAAUGGCGUAACGAUGGCCACACUGUCUCCUCCCGAGACUCAGCGAAGUUGAAGUGUUUGUGAUGAUGCAAUCUCCCCGCGGCUAGACGGAAAGACCCCAUGAACCUUUACUGUAGCUUUGCAUUGGACUUUGAACCGAUCUGUGUAGGAUAGGUGGGAGGCUUUGAAGCGUGGACGCUAGUCUACGUGGAGCCGUCCUUGAAAUACCACCCUGGUUUGUUUGAGGUUCUAACCUUGGCCCGUGAAUCCGGGUCGGGGACAGUGCAUGGUAGGCAGUUUGACUGGGGCGGUCUCCUCCCAAAGUGUAACGGAGGAGUUCGAAGGUACGCUUGGUACGGUCGGACAUCGUACCUAAAGUGCAAUGGCAAAAGCGUGCUUAACUGCGAGACCGACAAGUCGAGCAGGUGCGAAAGCAGGACAUAGUGAUCCGGUGGUUCUGAAUGGAAGGGCCAUCGCUCAACGGAUAAAAGGUACUCUGGGGAUAACAGGCUGAUACCGCCCAAGAGUUCAUAUCGACGGCGGUGUUUGGCACCUCGAUGUCGGCUCAUCUCAUCCUGGGGCUGUAGCCGGUCCCAAGGGUAUGGCUGUUCGCCAUUUAAAGAGGUACGUGAGCUGGGUUUAAAACGUCGUGAGACAGUUUGGUCCCUAUCUGCCGUGGGCGUUGGAAUCUUGACGGGGGCUGCUCCUAGUACGAGAGGACCGGAGUGGACGUACCGCUGGUGUACCUGUUGUCUCGCCAGAGGCAUCGCAGGGUAGCUAUGUACGGAAGAGAUAACCGCUGAAAGCAUCUAAGCGGGAAACUCGCCUGAAGAUGAGGAUUCCCUGGCGGCUUGACCGCCUUGAAGGGUCGUUCGAGACCAGGACGUUGAUAGGCUGGGUGUGGAAGCGCAGUAAUGCGUUAAGCUAACCAGUACUAAUUGCCCGUAAGGCUUGAUCCU